rnacentral:rRNA from 1 species
AUUGAACGCUGGCGGCAGGCCUAACACAUGCCAGUCGAGCGGAUGAAGGGAGAUUGCUCCUGUCUUCAGCGGCGGACGGGUGAGUAAUGACUAGGAAGCUGCCCUGUCGAGGGGGCUAACGUACGGAAACGGGCGCUAAUAUAGCAUACGUCCAGAGGGUGAAAGUGGGGGAUCAUCGGACCUAACGCUAUCUGCUGAGCCUAGGUCGGAUUAGCUAGUUGGUGAGGUAAAGGCCUACCAAGGCGACGAUCCGUGACUGGACUGAGUGGAUGACCAGUCAAACCGGGACUGAGACAAGGUCCAGACUCCUAAGGGAGGCCGCCGUUGGGAAUAUUUGAGCAUUGGCGGAAGGCCGAUCCGGCCAUGCCGCCGUGGUUGAUAAGGUCUUCGGAUUGGUAAACACUCUUAGUUGGGAGGAAAGGCAGGAAUUUAAUACCUUGCUGUUUUGACGGUACCAACAGAAGAAGGACCGGCUAACUUCGUG